GAGUCACACGGCCGGCAAGUUUGACUCCAGGAAGGCGUGGGGGAUCGACCCAGCCAGCGUUUGUGAGUCGGCGACCAUGUAGUAUGCAUAGGUGAGCUUCAACUCUGCUGGAAAUAAAGUAAGGACUGGAGAGGACGUUUAACUUUAUAAAACUGGAGUGGAAGUAAGCACAAAAGAGCAACCAGCAAACUCCAGAUCCCUCUGCAUCUUUUCUGCCCGUGACAGUGCCAUUCACUUAGAUGAGAGGACUAUUCAUUUCUCUACUCACCAAAUGCUGACAUCCGUUAAGCCUUGUGGAUUUAGCUUUAAAGAUUUUGUGAGAGCUUGCUUUGCUUCCUGACCUCACAGAAAUUACUGGAACCCAUCCGCCCUCCUCUGUCAAGGUGCCCUCUCCUUCCUUGACUACCCUUCAUGGACACCAGAGU